GAUGAAGAACGUAGUGAAAUGCGAUACGUAAUGUGAAUUGCAGAAUUCAGUGAAUCAUCGAAUCUUUGAACGCAUAUUGCGCUCUCUGGUAUUCCGGAGAGCAUGCUUGUUUGAGUAUCAGUAAACACCUCAACUCCCUUUUCUUUUUUGAAAUUGGAACUGGACUUGAGUGAUCCCAACGCUUUCUUCCAAGAAAGUGGCGGGUUGCUUGAAAUGCAGGUGCAGCUGAACUUUUCUCUGAGCUAUAAGCAUAUCUAUUUAGUCUGCCUAAAAAACAGAUUAUUACCUUUGCUGCAGCUAACAUAAAGGAGACUAGUUCUUGUGCUGACUGAUGCAGGAUUCACAGAGACAGCUUCGGCUGACUUUGUAAACUCGAUCUCAAAUCAAGUAAGACUACCCGCUGAACUUAAGCAUAUCAAUAAGCGGAGGA
rnacentral:misc_RNA from 1 species